CUACGGGGUGCUGCAGUGGGGAAUCUUAGACAAUGGGCGCAAGCCUGAUCUAGCCAUGCCGCGUGAGUGAUGAAGGCCCUAGGGUCGUAAAGCUCUUUCGCCAGGGAUGAUAAUGACAGUACCUGGUAAAGAAACCCCGGCUAACUCCGUGCCAGCAGCCGCGGUAAUACGGAGGGGGUUAGCGUUGUUCGGAAUUACUGGGCGUAAAGCGCGCGUAGGCGGACCAGAAAGUUGGGGGUGAAAUCCCGGGGCUCAACCCCGGAACGGCCUCCAAAACUCCUGGUCUUGAGUUCGAGAGAGGUGAGUGGAAUUCCGAGUGUAGAGGUGAAAUUCGUAGAUAUUCGGAGGAACACCAGUGGCGAAGGCGGCUCACUGGCUCGAUACUGACGCUGAGGUGCGAAAGUGUGGGGAGCAAACAGGAUUAGAUACCCCAGUAGUC
rnacentral:rRNA from 1 species